AUUGAACGCUGGCGGCAUGCUUUACACAUGCAAGUCGAACGGCAGCGGGGUAGUGCUUGCACUACUGCCGGCGAGUGGCGCACGGGUGAGUAAUAUAUCGGAACGUACCGAGUAAUGGGGGAUAACCAAUCGAAAGAUUGGCUAAUACCGCAUACGUCCUGAGGGAGAAAGCGGGGGAUCGCAAGACCUCGCGUUAUUCGAGCGGCCGAUAACUGAUUAGCUAGUUGGUGGGGUAAAGGCCUACCAAGGCGACGAUCAGUAGCGGGUCUGAGAGGACGAUCCGCCACACUGGGACUGAGACACGGCCCAGACUCCUACGGGAGGCAGCAGUGGGGAAUUUUGGACAAUGGGGGCAAGCCUGAUCCAGCCAUGCCGCGUGUAUGAAGAAGGCCUUCGGGUUGUAAAGUACUUUUGUUAGGGAAGAAAAGGGAAGUGCUAAUACCACUUUUUGCUGACGGUACCUAAAGAAUAAGCACCGGCUAACUACGUG
rnacentral:rRNA from 1 species